UACGGGGGGGGCAAGCGUUGUUCGGAAUUACUGGGCGUAAAGGGCUCGUAGGCGGCCAACUAAGUCGGACGUGAAAUCCCCAGGCUCAACCUGGGAACUGCGUCCGAUACUGGAUGGCUUGAAUCCGGGAGAGGGAUGCAGAAUUCCAGGUGUAGCGGUGAAAUGCGUAGAGAUCAGCAGGAACACCCGUGGCGAAGGCGGCCCCCUGGGCCGUACCUGACGCUGAGGCGCGAAGGCUAGGGGAGCGAACGGG
rnacentral:rRNA from 1 species